rnacentral:rRNA from 1 species
ACUCCUACGGGAGGCAGCAGUGGGGAAUAUUGGACAAUGGGCGAAAGCCUGAUCCAGCCAUGCCGCGCGUGUGAAGAAGGUCUUCGGAUUGUAAAGCACUUUAAGUUGGGAGGAAGGGCAGUAAAUUAAUACUUUGCUGUUUUGACGUUACCGACAGAAUAAGCACCGGCUAACUCUGUGCC